AACGAACGCUGGCGGCAUGCCUAACACAUGCAAGUCGAACGGGAUCCUGGCUUCGGCCAGGUGAGAGUGGCGGACGGGUGAGUAACGCGUGGGAACCUGCCCAUUGGUCUGGGAUAACUGCGGGAAACUGCAGCUAAUACCGGAUGUACCCGAGAGGGGAAAGAUUUAUCGCCGAUGGAGGGCCCGCGUCAGAUUAGGUAGUUGGUGAGGUAACGGCUCACCAAGCCUACGAUCUGUAGCUGGUCUGAGAGGAUGAUCAGCCACACUGGGACUGAGAUACGGCCCAGACUCCUACGGGAGGCAGCAGUGGGGAAUAUUGGAC
rnacentral:rRNA from 1 species